GCCGGGCAGCCAGCCGCCGCCGCCCGCCUUCCCGCCGCCGCCGCCGCCGGCCCGGCACCAGGGAGAAAACGGAUCCGGCGGACCGGGGCCUAACCCUGGACCGAUGCCGCCCCCUCCACCAGGUAUGAUGAUGCCGCCGGGCGGGUGGCGCGGCGGGUUCCCGCCGCCCUGGGCCGCGCCGCCGCCGCCCUUCCUCGCGCCGCCGCCGCCGCCGCCGCCCAUCUCCUCCUCCUAGCCGCGCGCCGCGCCCGCGGCACGCGCCGCACCAGCCGCACGCCCCGCACCAGCCGCACGCGCCGCACCAGCCGCACGUGCCGCACCAGCCGCACGUGCCGCAUCAGCCGAGCCGCACUCCCCGCCGCCGCCGCCGCCCGGCGACGAGCCGCCCCAGUAGCGGCGCCAGGCAGCGCAGCCGCCCGCUGACGCUCGCAGAAGAUUGAUACGAUACAUGUGUAUUUUACAGUAACGUCUUUGUGAGAAUGUCAAUUUAAAAACAUUCAGUUUAUUUAAUUUAGAUUAAACUAUUGAUUCUUUAUUAUGUAUAUGUUUUAACCGAUACUGAUAAUUGGUGACUCGGUCGCACUAAGGGACUAUAAAACUUGUGGUACUUUAAAUAUUUGCAACGUUUCGAUUAUAGACUAAAGAUAAAAAAUCGUUCAUAAGUAAGAAAAAUGUUCAUGUCCAUUUACGCACACUUCGUCCGCAUAGUGUCCGUACGACAAUUUAUUAAUUAAAUCUAGAUUUAUCGAAAUUGAGAAAUAGAAUAAUGAGGACUGAAUCAUAUUGUACCAGUUAGUUCAUAAUUUCUGCACUCUUUCUAGGAAACAUUAGAUUCGAAUCAGUAAGCAUUAAUAUGUUUGAUUAGUUGUUAGGUUUAGAAAUUGAGUAAGAGCUCUGUGGAGUACACUGUGUACUACUGUGUAUUAUAAACAUUAAUAAAUAUAUAUAGCAAUACA